rnacentral:rRNA from 1 species
GGAGUUAGCCGGUGCUUCUUCUGUGAGUGAUGUCCUUCCUGCCGGUUAUUGACCCGCAGGCCUUCUUCCUCACUGAAAGUGCUUUACAACCCGAAGGCCUUCUUCACACACGCGGCAUGGCUGGAUCAGGGUUGCCCCCAUUGUCCAAUAUUCCCCACUGCUGCCUCCCGUAGGAGUCUGGGCCGUGUCUCAGUCCCAGUGUGGCUGAUCAUCCUCUCAGACCAGCUACGGAUCGUCGCCUUGGUGAGCCGUUACCUCACCAACCAGCUAAUCCGACAUAGGCUCAUCCGAUAGCGCGAGGCCCGAAGGUCCCCCGCUUUCCCCCGUAGGGCGUAUGCGGUAUUAGCCUGGGUUUCCCCAGGUUAUCCCCCACUACCGGGCAGAUUCCUAUGCAUUACUCACCCGUCCGCCGCUCGCCACCAGGGAGAAAGCUCCCCGUGCUGCCGCUCGACUUGCAUGUGUUAGGCCUGCCGCCAGCGUUCAAUCUGAGCCAGAAUCAAACUCUGA